UACGUAGGGGGCUAGCGUUGCUCGGAAUCACUGGGCGUAAAGGGUGCGUAGGCGGGUUUUUACGUCGGAGGUGAAAUCCUGGAGCUCAACUCCAGAACUGCCUUUGAUACUGAAAGUCUUGAGUAUGGGAGAGGUGAGUGGAACUGCGAGUGUAGAGGUGAAAUUCGUAGAUAUUCGCAAGAACACCAGUGGCGAAGGCGGCUCACUGGCCCAUAACUGACGCUGAGGCACGAAAGCGUGGGGAGCAAACAGG
rnacentral:rRNA from 1 species